rnacentral:tRNA from 1 species
GGGGAUUUAGCUCAGUGGCAUAAGCACCUGCCUUGCAAGCAGGCAGUCAUAAGUUCGAUCCCCA